CAAUGCUCUUGCCUAUACUGCCGGGCGCCACAUGCGGCAACCCGGAAGUUAUCGCUCCAGGGGGAGCAAUCACUGCCCGGCAGUGUGUGUGUGGGGGUAUCGCGAUCACUUCCAGGGCUCAAAUUUAAGAGGUACGUCCGCGGUCCUUAAGUACCGUUUUGUGUCGGUCGGUCGUACCUCAUAUGUCCGUGGUUCUUAAGGGGUUAUGGUCAAAACAUGCAAACUGAAAAAAAUAUCUAAUUGGCUGUGAUUU